UACGUAGGGUGCGAGCGUUGUCCGGAAUUAUUGGGCGUAAAGAGCUCGUAGGCGGUUUGUCGCGUCGACUGUGAAAACCUACAGCUUAACUGUGGGCUUGCAGUCGAUACGGGCAGACUUGAGUUCGGUAGGGGAGACCGGAAUUCCUGGUGUAGCGGUGAAAUGCGCAGAUAUCAGGAGGAACACCGGUGGCGAAGGCGGGUCUCUGGGCCGAUACUGACGCUGAGGAGCGAAAGCGUGGGGAGCGAACAGG
rnacentral:rRNA from 1 species